AAUAGACCUGCCUUAGUUAGGUUACCUUCUCUGUUAAAUUAAAGUACGAGUUAGAUUGAUUGCACCUUGCCUUUCAUCAACUAUUCCUUAGUUCUUAAGUCAAUAAAAUCCAGGAAUCUGACACGCAUGCAGUUUCCUGAAGUCCCCACCAGAGGUGCUGUCAAUAUUGUUUAGUAUGGUUUUUGAAAUGGUCGUAUGAAAUAAAUUCAUAAUUUUUUCCCAAAUUAUGUUUUUUUUGUAAGUUUCUACCUCGGUUUUUACUUUUUUUUUGUAUAUAUGCGAGAUGAUUACAAGCAUUACGUUAUUUUUUUAUUUUUAACUUUUAUUAGAUCAAUAAAACAAAGUUCUACUUGGCCAUUCAAGAAAAACAACCGAACUCGCUGAACUGAACUAAAAACUGGAUAGCUUCAGUUUCCUUGAAACAAAAUAAAAUUUGUUUGAUAUUUCCUGUCCGUUGUAUUAAAAUUAAUUACGCUUUCAGAAUACUAACUAAAUUUCUGUCGAAAAUGCUUUAAACUAACUGUAACUGAACACCAAAGUGCUAGUAUGUCAACAUUAGGUUCUCGAUGAUAUGCUUAUAUGCUGUUCCCCUAGAUCAAAUUCUAGAUUAAACAUAAAUCUUUCUAAAGAAUAAAAAAACCCGAAAAAAGUUUUUAUUUAUGUAAUUUAUGUCCGAUGCGCAUACGACCUUUUCAAAUGCCACGCGCUAAAAACUUGGUUCGAUCUUGGUUCGAUUUUGACUUCACUCGCUUUGUAUGUGGAAGACAGUCGUGUCGUAACCAUGAUAAAAUCACACUAAAGAAAAGUGAUUCUACCAUCUAUAAAAUCCUAAGAUGUUGAUGUUGAUAUAAGUGAGAUCUGUGUGCACCGCUUUUAAGUGACAGAUAUUAUUGCGGGUGGAUAGAUAAAUUUUCAUUCUGCUGCGAGUGUAUCCCGCAGCUGCGAAUAUCGCAACGGCCCCUAAGUAGGCCUUUCAGUGCAUUCUUUAGCUCAUGUCAGUCUAUUUUCUAUCAACAUCUGUGGUAAAAUGUCCGAGAUUUGCACUGCCGUUUUCAAGCAAUACGCCUCAAUUGAUACAGUGUACCGCUGUUGCGAAUUGUCUCGAACUGGAUCAACCGUUACGAGCGGGAUAGCGUUUUCAACAUCACAGAAAGGAAAAAGUGUUCUUGCAGUUCAGCCCAGUACUGCGCCAAUUUGAACCGUAUCCAGCGCCACUCAGGGGUCAAUUCCGUGUGGGUUUUAGAUGGUACUCGCAUUCAUUCCGACAAGUUUGUUUGAAAGUGUUGUUAUUUAACUGGUGGGUCUUUCAAUCCAAGCAAAGGGCUAUCCAAAAAAAUGAUUUAAGCGUGUUUGAUGUUUGAAAUAAAGAAACCAUUGUAAACAU